CAUCAUGAGACGCAGACCGCACAAGCAACUGAUCAACAGUACCUGGACCAUUGCGCAGCUUCAAACAGGAUGUUGUUAGAGGGAAGUGGCAACUCAUCUUAGAUUAUCAAAGUGCCUGCAUCAGGUUGCAACAGAGAGACUGAAAGAGUCACAGAAAAGCAUAGAAGUGGAAGAAGUCCUCGAAAUUCUUUAUGGAUCAAACACCCAUUGUGAGUGUUACAGUUCAGAGGAGCAAGUUGUGCAAAAAGUACUGAAACACUGAAGAGUUGGAUUUAAAAGUUUAGAGAAGGAAAUUUAGUUCACCUGCAAAGGUUUUUCAUCUGAAAUUAGCGCUGCUGGCUUGGGCUGCGUACUGAUUAUCUGGUCACCGCUUCCCGUGAUGCAGAGGAGCCUCUGAGCCGAACAAGUUCUCCGCACUCCGGUCCUGGUGCUACUCUGAGAGUGCUCCGUGCUGGGGGACCGAACAUCACUGGGCCUCUCUUCCUGGGUGUCCUGCUGAAUGCUGGACAAUGGUGACGUAACUGGAUCACUCUUCUGUUGGCGGUUUUGUGGGGCAACUGUGGGUCCUUCUGUGUACUCAUUGCAGCUCCCAGUUAUCCUCAUCUGAUCCAAUGCCAUCACACCCUCGUGGGCUAGCAAUGGCUUUGGCUGCAGCCUUCCAUCCUCCUGCGAUGACCGCCUGCGGUGUUCUCCUCCUCCGUCGUUGAAGCUCUGAUUUCCGGUAUCCAUCGUGGGACUGAAAGGCCACUUGGGCCGGCAUGGGACACAUCUGAAAUCCUGCAAGAGAGGCAGAUAGCUUUUACCAAGCCACCAUGCAAAUGAUGCAUGCAAAUGAUAACAGAUGCCGAAGCGGGCAAAUGUGACAAACAUUGCGGUCAGACAACCCAAUGUGUCGCAGUGAAUUUGAUGUUUGUGCAGCUCUAUCUUAUGUUUUGGGGUUGAGGAUACAAGAGUGCACACUUUCAACAAAUAAGUACUCUAAUAAAAUGUCACCGUUUA